rnacentral:rRNA from 1 species
UACGUAGGGGGCUAGCGUUGUCCGGAAUCAUUGGGCGUAAAGCGCGUGUAGGCGGUUCGGUAAGUCCGCUGUGAAAGUCGGGGGCUCAACCCUCGGAUGCCGGUGGAUACUGUCGGGCUUGAGUACGGAAGAGGCGAGUGGAAUUCCUGGUGUAGCGGUGAAAUGCGCAGAUAUCAGGAGGAACACCAAUUGCGAAGGCAGCUCGCUGGGACGUUACUGACGCUGAGGCACGAAAGCGUGGGGAGCAAACAGG